GGGGAGGCAGCAGUGAGGAAUCUUCCGCAAUGGGCGAAAGCCUGACGGGGCAAUGCCGCGUGGAGGAUGAAGGCCCAAUGGGUCGUAAACUUCUUUAGAUCAGAGACGAAGAAAUGACGGUACCUGAAGAACUAAGCAUCGGCUAAACCCCGUGCCAGCAGCCGCGGUAAGACGGGGGAUGCGAGCGUUAUCCGGAAUGAUUGGGCGUAAAGGGUCCGCAGGUGGCCCGGUCAGUCCGCUGUCAAAGCCUGGGGCUCAACCCUGGAAAGGCGGCGGAGACCACCGGGCUUGAGUCCGGUAGGGGCAGAGGGAAUUCCCGGUGGAGCGGUGAAAUGCGUAGAGAUCGGGAAGAACGCCAAGGGCGAAGGCACUCUGCUAGGCCUGAUUUCGCGACUGACACUCAGGGACGAGAGCCAGGGGAGCGAAUGGGAUUAGAUACCCCAGUAGUCCUGGCCGUAAACGAUGGAUACCAAGCCCUGCGCGUAUCGACCCGGGCAGGGCUGUAGCUAACGCAUGAAGUAU
rnacentral:rRNA from 1 species